UGGGGAAUCUUGCGCAAUGGACGAAAGUCUGACGCAGCCACGCCGCGUGAGUGAAGAAGGCCUUCGGGUCGUAAAGCUCUGUCGUCGGGGACGAAAACGCUUAGGGUUAACAGCCCUAGGAAUUGACGGUACCCGAGAAGGAAGCACCGGCUAACUCUGUGCCAGCAGCCGCGGUAAUACAGAGGGUGCAAGCGUUGCUCGGAAUUAUUGGGCGUAAAGGGUAGGUAGGUGGUCUCAUUUGUCUAGGGUGAAAGCCUGGGGCUUAACCCCAGAAGUGCCCUAGAAACGGUGAGACUGGAGUACUGGAGAGGGUCGUGGAAUUCCCGGUGUAGCGGUGAAAUGCGUAGAGAUCGGGAGGAACACCAGAGGCGAAGGCGGCGACCUGGACAGUUACUGACACUCAACUACGAAAGCGUGGGGAGCAAACAGG
rnacentral:rRNA from 1 species